GGAUAGGUAACCUCAGCUGUAAGGCUAUUCUUCAAAGGGGGUGUCGGGAUCCGAACUCGGCCACGGUUAAAAUUGUCGGAAACCGAACGGAGAAUGGUCAGGUGGCGUGAUCGCCGGGAGGUUCGGAGUCUCCCCUAAGACUCAUGGGCUGUUCAAAGGAAAGUAUCGUGGAUCAAUAAAUGCCCAAGAUCUGAGGGAAGGUUGAGGAAGUGAAUUAAGGAGAGGAGGGAGAGUGAUGGAUCGGGUACUGAAAUCGGCUAGAUCGUCGGGAUCACUCAACCUCUCCAACCGCUCUCUCAGGGAGUUGCCAAAUGAAGUUUACCAAAACUUGGAUGGUGUUGGUGAGGACGAAAAAUGGUGGGAGGCUGUGGAGUUACAAAAGCUUAUUUUGGCUCACAACAAUCUUAAAGUACUGAAAGAAGACAUCAGAAAUUUAUCUAUGUUGACCGUCCUAAAUGUCAGUCACAAUAAAUUAUCUUGCCUUCCAGCAGCUAUUGGAGAGCUUGCUUUGUUAAAAUCACUGGAUGUUUCAUUUAACUCAAUAACAAGCAUCCCUGAAGAGAUUGGUGCAGCAACUUCAUUGGUUAAGCUUGACUGUUCAAAAAACCUACUUAAAGAACUGCCAUGCAGCCUUGGAAAGUGCUUAAAUUUGUCAGAACUAAAGGCAUCAAACAACUGCAUAAGUAAACUUCCGGAUGAACUUGUCAGUUGUACCAAGUUGAUUAAGUUCGAUGUUGAGGGAAACAAGCUUAUAAUGCUCUCCGAGAAUAUGCUCGUGUCAUGGACCAUGCUUACAGAACUCAAUGCUGCAAGAAACCUGCUCACUAGCAUUCCAGAUAGCAUAGGAGCUCUUUCACAACUGAUCCGCCUGGACUUCCAUCAAAAUAAAAUUUCAUCCAUUCCACCUUCAAUCAUGGGUUGCUCUUCACUUGCUGAGUUUUAUAUGGGGACCAAUCUACUAUCAUCACUACCAGCAGAGAUAGGUUCACUUUCUCGUUUAGGGACAUUAGAUCUUCAUUCAAAUCAGCUGAAGGAGUAUCCUGUGGAGGCCUGCAAGCUGCAACUCUCUGUCUUGGAUUUGUCAAAUAACUCAUUGUCUGGCUUGCCUCCUGAGAUUGGUACUAUGACAACCCUAAGAAAGCUUUUGCUGACUGGCAAUCCCCUAAGAAGCCUUCGAAGCUCAUUAGUAUCUGGACCUACACCAGCAUUAUUAAAGUAUCUGAGAAGUCGUCUCUCUUCCAAUGAAGAAGAAUCUACCACCACUCCCACAAAAGAUGAUGAAAUUGGUAUGGCAACCCGGCUUUCUUUGUCUUCGAAGGAGUUAAAUUUAAAUGGUCUAGGAUUGACCUGUGUACCACCUGCAGUGUGGGAGACAGAUGAGGUGGUGAAAGUUGAUCUUUCUAGAAAUUCAAUUGAAGAGCUACCAAAUGAACUAUCAACCUGUUCCUCAAUUCAGGUUUUGGUUUUGUCCAGGAACAAGAUAAAAGAAUGGCCGGGGGCAGUUCUGUUUUCUCUUCCCAAUCUUUCCUGUUUGAAGCUGGACAAUAAUCCCUUGGCACCGAUUCCAUCUACUGGCCUUGAAGCCAUCACCAAGCUUGCGAUACUUGAUCUAAGUUGCAAUACAUCCUCAUUGCCAGAACCUUCUAUUCUUUCAAGCUUGUCACAGUUGCAGGAACUGUACCUAAGACGAAUGCAGUUGGCCCAAUUCCCUUUGGGCUUAUUGUGCUUGAGGCAACUAAGGAUUCUCAACUUAAGCCAGAACUCUAUUGUAUCAAUUCCUCAGGAAAUCAAGGAGUUGACUUAUCUUACAGAGCUUGAUCUGUCUGACAACAACAUUGCUGCACUUCCUUCAGAGCUGAAGUCACAUUGGUGAAGUUCUUAGGUGGAAAUUUAUUGAACAGGGUUUGCUUGAACCCAGCCUCCAAGUCUUGAAGCUGGAUGGGAACCCCUUGAGGAGCAUAAGGCGCACUAUUUUGGAUCGAGGAACAAAAGCUAUUCUAAAGUAUCUGAAAGACAAGCUUCCAGACCAAUAAUUCUGUAGACAUGUGUUUCAAUCAAUUGAACCUUAAUGUUAGCAUGCUUCUUAUUUUAAAUUCGAAUGACCUGAGUUUCCCUUGGUAAAUCUGAGUGAACAAAAGCUUGUAAUUGUUUCAAAUGAUUUUUUUCAUCAACAACAAAUGUCUGUUUUUGGUUUGUAGUACUGGACCUUACGAAGUUCUGAAGCGGUGACUGUAAGAUUUGUCAACUUUGAAAUGCUAAAGUUUGUACGUCAUUAGAUUUGACA